AGAGUUUGAUCAUGGCUCAGAAUCAACGCUGGCGGCGUGCCUAACACAUGCAAGUCGAACGCGAAAGCCCCGCAAGGGGUAAGUAGAGUGGCAAACGGGUGAGUAACACGUGGGUGACCUGCCUCAGAGUGGGGGAUAACGACCCGAAAGGGUCACUAAUACCGCAUAACAUCCUGCGUUUGGAAACGCGGAGAUCAAAGUCGGGGAUCGCAAGACCUGGCGCUCAGAGAGGGGCCCGCGGCCGAUUAGCUAGUUGGUAGGGUAACGGCCUACCAAGGCAACGAUCGGUAUCCGGCCUGAGAGGGCGGACGGACACACUGGGACUGAGACACGGCCCAGACUCCUACGGGAGGCAGCAGUGGGGAAUUGUUCGCAAUGGGCGCAAGCCUGACGACGCAACGCCGCGUGGAGGAUGAAGAUCUUCGGGUCGUAAACUCCUUUCGAUCGGGAAGAACGCCUUCGGUGUGAACAACACCGAGGGGUGACGGUACCGAGAGAAGAAGCCCCGGCUAACUCCGUGCCAGCAGCCGCGGUAAUACGGGGGGGGCAAGCGUUGUUCGGAAUUACUGGGCGUAAAGGGCUCGUAGGCGGCCGACUAAGUCCGACGUGAAAUCCCCAGGCUUAACCUGGGAACUGCGUCGGAUACUGGUUGGCUUGAAUCCGGGAGAGGGAUGCGGAAUUCCAGGUGUAGCGGUGAAAUGCGUAGAUAUCUGGAGGAACACCGGUGGCGAAAGCGGCAUCCUGGACCGGCAUUGACGCUGAUGAGCGAAAGCCAGGGGAGCAAACGGGAUUAGAUACCCCGGUAGUCCUGGCCCUAAACGAUGAAUGCUUGGUGUGGCGGGUAUCGAUCCCUGCCGUGCCGAAGCUAACGCAUUAAGCAUUCCGCCUGGGGGAGUACGGUCGCAGGCUGAAACUCAAGGAAUGACGGGGCCCGCACAGCGUGAGCAUGUGUCAUCGACGCACGCGAGACUUACCAGGCUCGACGGUGAU
rnacentral:rRNA from 1 species